UUUCUGGACUGAGCAACCCACAGGGCUAUAGCUGAGUGACUGCCGCGGGGAUGAGUGUCUGGGGUCAGGGAAGGUGUCAAGACCCAGGCUCUGCUCCAGCAACAGGAAGCGGACGGGGGAAAGCGGCGUCCUCCCCAGCGGCCCCAUCCCAGGAGCCGCGGCUCCUGCAAUCCUCAGCGCUCCCCGGCCGGGGCUGGGCCGACCGGCCGGCGGCACCCUCCGGAUCCGACGCGGCCCUCCGGAUCCCAGCGGGCCAAGAGGAGGUGCAUCCAGACCCAUGACACACGCCCGCGGCCAGGUGGCUGACCCCGGGGGAAGCCGCGAGCGGCGGCGCGCUCCCCUCGGGCGUCCGCGGACCCGCCCCUCGUGCUCCCACUCUCCGCUGGAUUUCUCCUCUCCCUUAAGCUGCCUGUCUGCCUUCUCCGGCUGCAUGCCGUCUCUGUGUCCGAGUCCGGGUCUCUCAAACUCUCCGCCUCUCGGGGAGCUGGACUCGAGCCGCCCGAGAAGCCUCAUUUAUCCUCCCAUCCCCCUGCCAAAUCCUGUCGGCGCUCCGCCC
ensembl:lncRNA